rnacentral:rRNA from 1 species
UACGGGGGGGGCAAGCGUUGUUCGGAAUUAUUGGGCGUAAAGAGCUCGUAGGCGGUUUGUCGCGUCUGCUGUGAAAACUCGGGGCUUAACUCCGGGCCUGCAGUGGGUACGGGCAGACUAGAGUGUGGUAGGGGAGACUGGAAUUCCUGGUGUAGCGGUGAAAUGCGCAGAUAUCAGGAGGAACACCGAUGGCGAAGGCAGGUCUCUGGGCCACUACUGACGCUGAGAAGCGAAAGCAUGGGGAGCGAACAGG